AAAGACUUGACGGUACUUCACAACACCCUAGAGGAGCCUGUCUAAUAACCGAUACCCCACGAUUAACCCCACCCGUUCUAGCCCUACAGUCUAUAUACCGCCGUCGCCAGCUUACCUUGUGAAAGAGAUAAAGUAAGCAAAAUAAAUUACCUUUAACACGACAGGUCAAGGUGUAGCUAAUGAACGGGCAAAAGAUGGGCUACAUUUUCUAACACAGAAAACACGAAUCAAACCAUGAAAUCAAAACUGAAGGCGGAUUUAGCAGUAAGAUAAAAAUAGAAUGCUUA
rnacentral:rRNA from 1 species